rnacentral:rRNA from 1 species
GACAGAGGGUGCAAACGUUGUUCGGAAUUACUGGGCGUAAAGCGCGUGUAGGCAGUUUUGCAUGUCGGGUGUGAAAGCCCUGGGCUCAACCCAGGAAGUGCACUCGAAACUGCAAGAUUGGAGUUCUGGAGAGGAAGGCGGAAUUCUCGGUGUAGAGGUGAAAUUCGUAGAUAUCGAGAGGAACACCGGUGGCGAAGGCGGCCUUCUGGACAGUGACUGACGCUGAGACGCGAAAGCGUGGGGAGCAAACAGG